UAUCCCAAGAGGAGCAACUCUUCUAAGCUCUGGACCUUGCUCCAAUCAAUAUGCCUUGAUCAAACUAGGCUGAGGGAAAGGCAAGAGAAUCUAAAAUUUUAAGAUUGCUCAAGCAGGGUUUGGGACGGAGGUGUGGUGAUGUGAGAUGGGGGAGGAAGCUGAUGGAACUCUAUGCGGUAUCCAUUCCUGAUGACGGAGAAAACCCACAAGUCUGUGGUGAUGUCUUCCCACAUAGAAGGAACAAUACAGGCUCUCAAUGUGGUGGUUGAAAGAAACUGAAGGGAGAGUCUUGGCACCAAGUUCCAGAUGAAGAGAGCCGUCUCAAUGGUGCUCUUUUGGGGACCAACUUCUAAUCAAGUGGAUCAUUUGAAAAACUUUGUUCUCUGUGUUUCUGCUUUUUUGGGAGCAAUACCAGCUUCUUAUUUCCCACUGGGUACACUGUUAACUCUUACAGGCAGUUCUAUAUCCUUGACUGACACCCUGCAUGAGUUCUUCCAUUGAGAAAGACAAGUUUGUGCUUAAAAAUACUCAAUUAAACACUUGUGGAUUUAU